GUGGGGAAUAUUGGACAAUGGGGGGAACCCUGAUCCAGCCAUGCCGCGUGUGUGAAGAAGGCCUUUUGGUUGUAAAGCACUUUAAGUGGGGAGGAGGCUUACCUGGUUAAUACCUGGGCUAAGUGGACGUUACCCACAGAAUAAGCACCGGCUAACUCUGUGCCAGCAGCCGCGGUAAUACAGAGGGUGCGAGCGUUAAUCGGAUUUACUGGGCGUAAAGCGCGCGUAGGUGGUUAAUUAAGUCAUAUGUGAAAUCCCCGAGCUUAACUUGGGAAUUGCAUUCGAUACUGGUUGGCUAGAGUAUGGGAGAGGAUGGUAGAAUUCCAGGUGUAGCGGUGAAAUGCGUAGAGAUCUGGAGGAAUACCGAUGGCGAAGGCAGCCAUCUGGCCUAAUACUGACACUGAGGUGCGAAAGCAUGGGGAGCAAACAGGAUUAGAAACCCGGGUAGUCC
rnacentral:rRNA from 1 species